AUGAAAGAACACUUUGAUGCUCACAACGUGAGUGGAAUUGACCGCUCCGAGAGAUCACUUCGGUCUCGAUGGUCGACAAUCAACUCGGAUUAUCAAAAGUGGGCGGCCGCACAAAAGUCGGUUGACAAGUUGAACCCAAGUGGCACAAAUGAGGACGAUAGAAACUUGUUCAAAGAAGAGGAGAGGACAACCAAGAUGGGGAAGAUCAAGAAAGGAAGGAUCUUUACGUUGCCUCAUUGCUAUGAAGUGUUGAAGGAUGAUGAGAAAUGGAAGAAGCGUGAUGGUUUGGAUGAUUUGCAUUUGAGCAACAAACGCAAGCGAACAAUUGAGUUGAAUGAUGAUGAGGAGGAGGAAGAGGAUGAUGCAUCAAGUGAUGACGACAAGAAAAGCCCCACACCCAACUCGGUUUCAUACUCGAAGCCAAAACGACCGGAUGGGUGCAAGAAAGACAAAACCGAAAAGAAGAAGAGGAAAGGAGAUGAUGAACUCAAAAAUGCUAUGGAAGCUAUUGUGAAGGCAAGAAAAGAAGCCAACGAGGUGAGGAAAAUGCAAAAUCACUAA
rnacentral:rRNA from 1 species